GGGGAAUCUUCCGCAAUGGACGAAAGUCUGACGGAGCGACGCCGCGUGUACGAAGAAGGCCUUCGGGUUGUAAAGUACUGUUGUUGGGGAAGAACGGCUCAAGUGUGAAUAAUGCUUGAGAUUGACGGUACCCAACGAGGAAGCCCCGGCUAACUACGUGCCAGCAGCCGCGGUAACACGUAGGGGGCGAGCGUUGUCCGGAAUUAUUGGGCGUAAAGGGCGCGUAGGCGGCCGUUUAAGUCUGAUGUGAAAGUGCGGGGCUUAACCCCGUAAAGCAUUGGAAACUGGAUGGCUUGAGGACAGGAGAGGAAAGUGGAAUUCCUAGUGUAGCGGUGAAAUGCGUAGAUAUUAGGAGGAACACCAGUGGCGAAGGCGACUUUCUGGACUGUGUCUGACGCUGAGGCGCGAAAGCGUGGGUAGCGAAC
rnacentral:rRNA from 1 species